CUCUGAUACCAACUGUUAGAUUUCUUUAAUAUACAUGUUCAAAAUCUUCACACAAUCUGAAAUACGUAAAGACAUACCUGGUGCCAUCUUACUUAAGUAUACGACCUCUGACAUACCUGGUGCCAUCUUUCUUUGUGUUGUUGUUCUCAAUUAUUCAAGCUCUGCAAAGCAAGGCUAAUCCCAAAAGGUGGGGCUGGACGGGGAACCCAUUCCCCAUUAAAGGUGGGGAUGGAGAAUCCCCAAUAUGAAUAUUGGCCGAAUUGCAGAGUUAUAAUGGGGCCAUAGAUUUGAGAAAGCUUGGUGAGAGAGAGAUGGGGUUUGUUGCCAAGCUCUAGAAGAUUGCCAAUGAAGGGAAAUGGCUUUGGUCCAGGUGGGAGAAGAUGCCUUUAGGGAUUGGCUUUGCUUUGCAGAGCUUGAAUAAUUGCGAACAACAACACAAAGAAAAGGUUUAGCAGGACGAUACAAAAACUCAAGAAAUUCCUUCUCUCUCUGGUUCUAAUUGCACAAAAGUUGUUAAAUUGAACUACUAUAAUUUGAAUAAAUCGAGGUUCUGGUCUAAAAAUUUCCACAUAAUUAAAAUCAUUUAACUUUAAAUUCUAUAAUCAAAAUAGUUU
rnacentral:lncRNA from 1 species